UUGCUCACUUUGGUAGCACAUAUACUAAAAUUGGAAAGGUACAUAGAAGAUUGGCAUGGCCCCUGCACAAGGAUGACUCUUAAAAUAACAAACUUAUUCAUAUUAGU